ensembl:rRNA 5S_rRNA 5S ribosomal RNA
GCUUACGGCCAUACCACCCUGAGCACGCCCGAUCUCGUCUGAUCUCGGAAGCUAAGCAGUCUCGGGCCUGGUUAGUACUUGGAUGGGAGACAGCCUGGGAAUGCCAGGUGCUGUAAGCU